UCUCCGUAGGUGAACCUGCGGAGGGAUCAUUACUGAGUGAGGGCUCACGCCCGACCUCCAACCCUUUGUGAACACAUCUUGUUGCUUCGGGGGCGACCCUGCCGUCCGCGGCUGAGCGCCCCCGGGGUCAAUCAAACACUGCAUUCUCUGCGUCGGAGUUUAAAACAAAUUAAACAAAACUUUCAACAACGGAUCUCUUGGUUCUGGCAUCGAUGAAGAACGCAGC
rnacentral:misc_RNA from 1 species